ensembl:lincRNA linc-84 ncRNA
GUUAGAUUUUAAAAGAUUUUCUAUUGUACAAUCUUUUUUUGAUUUUGAUUAUCUCGAUACGCCAGAGAGAAAAAUACCCCUUAUAUAAUUGUAAUUUCACAAAAUUCAAAUAUAAUAUUAAAAUUUUGGUUUUACUUCUUGUUAUCAUAUAAUCUGAGAUGAAACGAAUAAUUUAAAUUGUAUUGUUUUCCCGAUUUUUUAGUAAUAUGCAGUAUUUUUUUUAAACUUAUAAGUGGAGGAGCUCUUGUGGAGUUAUUUCAAAAAUUUCUUCCAUAAUUCUAAAAAGACCCAAUAUCUUUAAAAUUUUAAUUUUUUUUUCAAUAAAAAAAUACCGUUGUGAAAAUCGGCAAUUGCUCAGUUUUGUAAUAAUAAUAAUAAUAUUGGAAGUCGAUUAAACAAACAUUUUCUUAGAGUUUUAAAUUUUCUCAAACUUAUGAUUUAAUUAUUGUAGGGCUUUGAAAAUGCAAAAUUUACCUAAACUUUUCAAAGAUUCAAAAUUUUGAAAAUAUUUUAAUUUGCCAAAAAUCCAAUUAAAAAACAUUUUUUCAACCCGGUUUUAGUAAGGGUAAGCAUAAUCCUCACUGGCGCAACACUUCAAAUAAUAUUUCCAUAAAAUUAAUAUUGGAUAAUUUUUAGAUAUAUUUUUAUUAUGUUUUUCGAAAGAAAAUAAAAAUUUUUCA